GUGCUUCCUGGCCUUGCUGAACAGCCCCGCCACCACCAGUGGUGAUUUUGGUGGUCRCCAGCCCUGGGCAGCUCCCUGUGGAAGUGGUGGCAGGAGCAUUGAUCCCAGUCUGCUUCCAUGGUGCCCAGGAAGAGCCUUGGCCCUCACGGUCUCGCCAGGCAGUGAGAGUGUUCGGUUCUACGCUCUGUGAAGGAUCCAGAGAGCUGCUUUUGCUGCCUUGACCGAGAGGAGCUGACACCAUGGACUGACAAAAGAUGGUUGUGCCCAGGAAAGGUAGGCCAUGAUCUUCGCUUGGACCUGCGGCUCGUCGGGCUCGCACUUCAGCAGUUCCAAGAUGAGGUGGGGGAUGCUUGCCGGCGAGCUCGUUUGAAACAGAAUGUGGACAAGCCAGCAAAGAUCGACAUUUGGGAUAGUUAAGAACGGAGGCUGUUCCCUAACUACAGCACUUUGCAACAGCGAAAUAGUUCAAAGCAGUGACAAAGCUCCCRUGCAAAAUGCCAUGUACAAAUGCGACUGCUCUCCAAGUGACUCCCAAAAACUAAAGYCUUUGGGGAGGCUAAUUUUACAAGUAAACGUAACAACAAACAGAUCAGAAACAAGUUAAAUUAUUGCACAUCUCUGCUUUCYCGAGUCUCCUUUUUUGUUCGGUUUCUAUUGGAAACUUUCCUGGCCGUGCCCUGCCCGUAGGAAGGAAGGGAACAGAACCUUGCAGCUCUCACAGGUGAGCAGCCCGUAGUGGUAGCCGGACACCUUGUCGCCGCAGACGGGACACAGCUCCUCCAGGUCCUCGUCGUAGGAGUAAUUCACCAUUUUAAACUGAGACACUGCAAGAGGCAGACACAGCGCGUGMGAUUAGGGCUUAGCGUGGAGAACUCAAAUUUCCUGCGGCUAUUCUGAGCUAGAAGGGGGGAAAAAAACUUAAAUAUACGGCUGGAAAAUGAA